GCUGUAUAAUUAAUAGAAUAAAGCCACAGAAUGUACAACAUUUCAUAUCAUUUGCAAUAUUUAGAAUUGUGGAUUAUCUACAUACUUUUUUUUUUUCUUUCUUUUUCUUUCUUUUUUUUUUUUUUUUUUCCAGGAUGAAAAUAUGCAUCUAUUUUUCCAGCAAGGAAUAGAAGUUUCAGGAGGUUGCCACUUUGAAGAUAUUCUCAUUUUAAUCAUUAGAUCAUUUGCUUUGUUCGUUAUUAUUCAGGUGACGCCAAGGAAUUGCAUAAAUAAGGAAUACUGCCAUGUACAUCAUGGUCACCUCAGUGGAAGAAGCUGUAAGGAGUGACACCUGGAUUGCCAGCCCUUCCUACUGUUCCCUCAGGCCAUGCAUGCUGGCCUCUAGCCAACAGCUGCCUCUCAGUAUCACAUUGCCUGCACAUCUGCCUCUCUCCAUAAAUGUCACCUGGGCCACUUCCAUAAACUCUCCACUGAUCUGUCUGAUCAAGAGCUGUCUCUGGAACAAAGAAUAUUCAGGGAAAAUGGGGUUGGGGUGCCUCUCUGAUUUCUGUGUGUGCAUUUUGGUGUGACUCUGAGAAGUCACACCUACUCCUCAGUACCAGCACAGCAUCUUGAGGCAAGGCACAUAAUCAGCAAUGCACAUUUUGUUUCCAAAGCUUUGAUUACAGACAUAACCCAAUAUCUUCUUUCUAUAUGGUUUGUUUGUUCUGGGACAGAGUUAAUUUUUCUGUCAUAAUGUCCAGUAUGAUGUUAUACUUUGGCUUUAGGAGAAAAAUAGUGUUGAUAACAUAGUGACAUUUAAGUUGUUGCUGAUCAGUGCUGUACAGAACCAAGGACAUUUUAGUUUCUCAUACUGUCUUGAUGGAGGGGACACAAGGAAUUGAGAGGGGACAGCUGUUCUAAACUGGCCAAAGGGAUACUCCAUACCAGAUGACAUCAUUUGAAAACAUAAGACUGAGGGGAGCUGGCUGGGGAAGCAGCCUCUGUUUGAGGUCUGGAUGAGCAUCAGCUGGCAGGUGAUAAGCAAUUGCUUUGUGCAUCACUUGUUUUCUGUAUAUAAGUGAAUAUAUACAUACAUACAUAUACAUAGCCUGAGAGAAGAGAAAGCCAAGAGAAACUCUUGCUCAGAAGACAUCCACACAGAUGCCCCCUCUUAGCCCAGGUACGAAAUUCUUCCCAGCUUGCCUGUUGAGUUACUUGAAUCUACGCAAGUUUUCUUCCAGAACAUGAUGGAAGUCAGUAACUGACACAGCUAGGAAAUGAAAAAAAUAUGUUUAUGGUCAUCAGGGUUCCAUCUUCCCUGGUCACACAGGGCAAGAGACUGUGAUAGUCUGUGUUGACGUGUGGAUAAAUUUGAACAAUUUACCUAUUAAAUGUCUCAUGUAACAUAAACUGAUAUUUUUACAAGGUACCACUUAAUGAAAGUUUUGGUAACAAUUUUUCCAGAAAAAAAAAAAUAAAUUAUUUAGUGUAGUUUGCUUCUUUUUAAAA
rnacentral:lncRNA from 1 species